rnacentral:rRNA from 1 species
GAUGAACGCUGGCGGCGUGCCUAAUACAUGCAAGUCGAGCGAAUGGAUUAAGAGCUUGCUCUUAUGAAGUUAGCGGCGGACGGGUGAGUAACACGUGGGUAACCUGCCCAUAAGACUGGGAUAACUCCGGGAAACCGGGGCUAAUACCGGAUAACAUUUUGAACCGCAUGGUUCGAAAUUGAAAGGCGGCUUCGGCUGUCACUUAUGGAUGGACCCGCGUCGCAUUAGCUAGUUGGUGAGGUAACGGCUCACCAAGGCAACGAUGCGUAGCCGACCUGAGAGGGUGAUCGGCCACACUGGGACUGAGACACGGCCCAGAGUCCUACGGGAGGCAGCAGUAGGGAAUCUUCCGCAAUGGACGAAAGUCUGACGGAGCAACGCCGCGUGAGUGAUGAAGGCUUUCGGGUCGUAAACUCUGUUGUUAGGGAAGAACAAGUGCUAGUUGAAUAAGCUGGCACCUUGACGGUACCUAACCAGAAAGCCACGGCUAACUACGUGCCAGCCGCCGCGGUAA